UACAGAGGGUGCGAGCGUUAAUCGGGAUUACUGGGCGUAAAGCGCGCGUAGGCGGCUUUGCAAGCCGGAUGUGAAAUCCCCGGGCUCAACCUGGGAACUGCAUUUGUGACUGCACAGCUUGAGUGCGGCAGAGGGGGAUGGAAUUCCGCGUGUAGCAGUGAAAUGCGUAGAUAUGCGGAGGAACACCGAUGGCGAAGGCAAUCCCCUGGGCCUGCACUGACGCUCAUGCACGAAAGCGUGGGGAGCAAACAGG
rnacentral:rRNA from 1 species